rnacentral:rRNA from 1 species
GACAGAGGGUGCAAGCGUUGUUCGGAAUAUUGGGCGUAAAGGGCGCGUAGGCGGCUUGGCAAGUCGAAUGUGAAAGCCCAGGGCUCAACCCUGGAAGUGCAUCCGAAACUAUCAAACUAGAGUCCCGGAGAGGGUGGUGGAAUUCCCAGUGUAGAGGUGAAAUUCGUAGAUAUUCGCAAGAACACCAGUGGCGAAGGCGGCUCACUGGCCCGGUACUGACGCUGAGGCACGAAAGCGUGGGGAGCAAACAGGG